AACUUGCUGAGAGGCAAAGUGGUUUUCUCCAACUUUGGGUGAGAAUUCUAUCUCAGAAUUCAAUUUCAAAGACCUCAGCUCCUGUGGGCUUUCCAGCACUGCAGAGACUGAAGUGCUUGGAGGGUUAUCAGUGAGGAAAUGGAAGAAAUGAGGCCGGUGACUUGUUCCCCGUGUCCCCAUGUAUGACCAGAAGGCACAGCCAGCGUUUGCAGUUGUCCCUGGUAAAACUCUUCUGAGUCAGAUUCAAAUGAAUCCCUGAGCCCAGCUGAAAGGCGUGCUCCGCAAACCAGGAGCCUUGCCUUGUUCCAAGCAGAACCUAUAAUUCUGCAAUUCAGACAUAACAGCAGUUUGUAGGAGUAUCCCAAAGAGGACCGUGGCUGCUCGUCCUUCUUCCUGCAGCUCCCAGGAAAGACCAAUGUGAAGAAAACUUUUCCAUGCCUGUGAGAGUCAAUCUGUGGCAACUGGUGUGUCUAAUUUCAGAGCAGAAGUACUUCUGAAGGAGAGAGGAUUAAAAC
rnacentral:lncRNA from 1 species